rnacentral:rRNA from 1 species
AGUACUUCGGUACUGAGUGGCGGACGGGUGAGUAACGCGUGAGAAUCUGCCAAAAGGACUGGGACAACCACUGGAAACGGUGGCUAAUACCGGAUGAGCCGCAACGUAAAAGAGGAAACUCGCCUUUUGAAGAGCUCGCGUCUGAUUAGCUAGUUGGUGAGGUAAAGGCUCACCAAGGCAUCGAUCAGUAGCUGGUCUGAGAGGAUGACCAGCCACACUGGGACUGAGACACGGCCCAGACUCCUACGGGAGGCAGCAGUGGGGAAUUUUCCGCAAUGGGCGAAAGCCUGACGGAGCAAGACCGCGUGAGGGAGGAAGGCUCUUGGGUUGUAAACCUCUUUUGUCAGGGAAGAAGAAAGUGACGGUACCUGACGAAUCAGCAUCGGCUAACUCCGUGCCAGCAGCCGCGGUAAUACGGAGGAUGCAAGCGUUAUCCGGAAUUAUUGGGCGUAAAGCGUCCGCAGGUGGCACUUCAAGUCUGUCGUCAAAGACCGGGGCUUAACCCUGGAAAGGCGAUGGAAACUGAAAGGCUAGAGAGAGGUAGGGGUAGAGGGAAUUCCCAGUGUAGCGGUGAAAUGCGUAGAGAUUGGGAAGAACACCCGUGGCGAAAGCGCUCUACUGGACCUCAUCUGACACUCAGGGACGAAAGCUAGGGGAGCGAAUGGGAUUAGAUACCCCAGUAGUCCUAGC